AUGACUCUGUCUCUGGGAUGGCUCUCAGCUCUGGCCGCGGGUGUUUUCUCCGCUCAUGUUUUGCAGAAACUCUGCUUCCCAUACUUUUGGACUGACCUCCUCUUUCUGCUGAAAGUGAUCAGGUACGGCGUGAAGCUGGAGCUGUUCAAGAUGACAUCCAGCGUGUGUACGGUCCUGGACAGGUUCAUUCAGCAGGCGCAACGCAUUCCCAACAAGCCGUUUAUCAUCUAUGAUGGAAGCAUCUACACCUACCGGGACAUCGAGCGACGCAGCAACAGACUCGCCAAUGUUUUCCUCGAGAGAGUGAAUUUGAGGAAAGGAGACUGCGUUGCCUUGCUCAUGAGCAACGAGCCCGACUUCCUGUGCGUUUGGUUCGGGUUGGCGAAGGUCGGCUGUUCGGUUGCUUUCCUCAACAUUAACAUCAAGUCCAAGUCUCUGCUACACUGCUUUAACAGCUGUGGAGCCAAAACUCUAAUUGUUGGUUCAGAUUUAGUGGAAUGUCUGGACGGCAUCCUAACUAGCCUGCUGGAGGACAACAUUCAGGUGUGGACCAUGAAGAGCCAGAGUGAGCACACACAGGUGCACACUCUGUUGGAUAAGAUCUAUGCUGCCUCUGACCAGCCUGUACCAGCAGAGUUACGUGCCACCUCCUCCCUCAAAUCCCCCACCCUCUACAUCUUCACCUCUGGAACAACUGGACUCCCUAAGGCUGCAGUGAUCACUCACCUCCAGAGUUUGAAGGCAGCAGCAGGUUUUUGGGCGUUUGGGGUGACUGAAGAUGACGUGAUGUACAUCCCUCUGCCACUCUACCACAGUGCAGCUUCCUUGAUCGGUAUAGGAGGAACCAUAGAGCUUGGUGCGACCUGCAUUUUGAAGAAGAAGUUCUCAGCCUCCCAGUUCUGGAAUGACUGUAGAAAACAUGAAGUGACUGUUUUCCAGUAUAUUGGUGAGCUCUGCAGAUACCUCUGCAACCAGCCUAAGAGAGAGGUGGAUAAAGUUCACAAGGUGCGAAUGGGAGUUGGGAACGGGCUACGGCAGGAUGUCUGGCGGGAGUUCCAGAGUCGCUUUGGAAACAUUAAAAUGUGCGAGGUGUAUGGCUCCACUGAAGGAAACCUGUGUUUCAUGAACCACAUCGGCAAAAUUGGAACUGUGGGCCGCUCCAACUUCUUCUACAGGUGUGCCAAGCUGGAUCUGGACCUGGACUCGGCCCCCGUCAGAGGAAAUCAGCCUCAACAACGAGCAGCAGCACCAGCAGAUGCACAGCCUCAGCCACCAACUGUGGCCUCAAUAUACCUGGAUGAAGCAACGGGAGGACAUGGAUCAUCAUCAUCAUUCAUUCCCACACCUCCAACACCCAAAGAGGCCUACAAAUCACAAUGGGGUGGCCCAAUCACCCCCAAUCGCCUUUCCAGCCCUCAUCGCACUCAAAGCAACAAAGAAUUCUGGCCCAGAUCAAACUCCUGCACCUCCUUAAACGUGAUUGCACCAGUGAUGGAGGUGGCAACAGGAGAUGGGACCUCACAACUGAUUUUCAUACCAUGGACAUAUGCUGACCUGGGAGUAUGGUAACCUGGAGACACGCUAUCCAUGCAGAAAAAUUCCUCAAAGAUGAGCAAAGUAAGAAAAGUACGCAGCUGAUGGACAGAUUAAAGAUGCCGCACCUGAGGGUGUAUGAGAAUCAGAACAGAGGCCAGGGCCAAGGCCGACGAGGACAUGGACGAAGGGGAAGAGGACGAGGAAGGAGUGACGCUUGUUUCAAAUGUGGCAAAAUGGGACAUUGGGCAAAAGAUUGCCCCAAGAAUCACGAGCAGGCUGACUGACUAGACGGGGUGUUGACGCCAGCUCGGGAUGGAGCUGGCUUGAACACUGAACUGGAGACGACAGAGCAUUCUUCACAUCAGUUACGUAAGAGCACCCACAUUGACACAAAAGCGCAUGUGAACACACGACACACAAACAACUGCCUGCAUUAGACACCGCCACACACACAGACAUUGAUAAGUGAGGCUAUCUCUUACCUUGAGCACACACAAGCCACUGAUGACAAAGCCCCAGCAGAGAUAUACACCGAAUAUACACAUGAUGCAUACAAACGCAUGCCUGAACACGCAAUCAAUGUUGCUGGAAAAGAUAUUGUUUUUCUUGUGGAUUCUGGUGCGACUGAUUCUGUCAUCAGAGUUUGCAGUCCUUCCAAAGAUCAGUGGCAGAUUUGUGAGGACAGUAGGAGUUUCAGGAACACCCCUGGUGGAAAGGUAUACCACACCAUUGUCAUGCAGUGAAUAAACUGAGAAACACUUUAAACAUUCAUUCUUGUUAUCUAAACGAUGCCCGAUCAAUAUUAUCGGAAGUGAUAUGAUGAUAAGAUUAGGAAUUAUCCUGAUUUCCACUCCCGAGGGCAUCAUUGUAGCCAGAUUUUCUGACACUGCGUCACAUUAUGUGAAACACAGCAGCAGGGAGCUGAUGUACUCAUAUCAAUGGAAGCUGCUUCACACAGCUGCUGACUCUGUAAAUAACACUCUGAUUGCCGAGGUCAAAGCUCUCUUUCCAGACAACUAUACACGAAUAGACAUUAAGUCGCCACAGGAGUUACACUGCACAUCACGUGUACAUCUUGGGGUUGAUAAAUAUUUUGAGGACACAUGGUUCAGGCAAGACAAAGAGAGAAACACACUAAAGCUGGCCUGGUUGUACUGGAAUGAUAAUAAAUGCAGUAGCUUUCAAUGAUUCACUUUGUAAAGCUUUGUUUCAAGUCCCUAACACAUAUCCUCAUGUCCCCCUGGUCAAAGCAAAGCAGGAUACAUGGGAAUGCUUGGGCCCUUGGACCAGACGUUGUGAGGAAGCUGCUGGUUGGGUAAAGACAUCAGACUCAGGUGUGGAUUUUCACAACCACCUUCAAGCAUUCCGGAAAAGAUUUUUAGCUAUAGCAAUAGAGCAGGAGUGAUUAUUCCAUGUGCAAGAUCUCCAGUCUGGACACCUAUUUUCCCCAUGCGAAAACUCCAGGACGCCGGAGAGCCACAACAUUGGAGAUUCGUGCAAGACUUGCAGGCGCAGCAGACGGUGAACCUCACGAUUGUGUGGCAGUGAUAACAGAGACUUGCUCUCCCAGACCAGAUCUGCAUGAAACACCAUUGAUCAAUCCAGAGCUGGAGCUGUUUGUUGACGGUUCAGCAUCACAAGAUCCAGCAACUGGUGAAGGAAGCCAUUCCAAGGGCUGCAGAGAGGAAACUGCAUGACUUGGAGCCUGGUGAUUGGAUUGUGGUGAAAGAACACAGACGAAAGAACUGGCAGGCUCGCAGGUGGAAUGGUCCCUACCAGAUAUUGCU